GGUGCCGUUCGUUAGCUGAGGCUCCUUCGCGGAAACAAGCCAGCGACCCUAAACGUCGAGAGACGCCACCGGUCAGGACAGGCUGCCCCGGGCUAAGGGGCAACCCCGAUUGGCUCCCUCCCAGAGAGGGUCACGACGCGAAGUGCCAAAGGUCUUACGAGGAAGGGCACC
rnacentral:sRNA from 2 species